CUGUCUGAUGCUUGCGGCUGAUGGCUUCUACCUACGUGCAUCAAACAGCGGGCCUGCACCUUCACCGAGACACCAGUAAGACAGUUCUGGGUAACUGCAGCGACUGGGUCACCGAUGCCGUUCCACUUCCUGCACUGCACUCCGCGUGGGUCAAAGGGCCAGCGCAUGCCUUUUAUGGGUUGUCGCCAGCCAUAGUCGGACAUGAGGCAAUAAAAGCUUGGCCCACCAACCACAUGGCUCCUACCGCCCUGUCAGCGUAGAGGUGAAUGGAGCGUAGGGGCGGCAGAGUUGGUGGGGUCUGCUGAGUGCUUCUGGCGUAGCAGUUUGGCAGUGGUGAGUUACUAGAGCACAAAAUGCAAUACCGCACUUUACUCUGAAUGCUGCGAGCCAUCGGAGCCAAUCCAGUGCCGAAGGUGUGUCACGUGGCCUGUCCGUUGGGCGCAACGGCACGUCGAGCACAGCGUCAUCUGGCUGCGACAAAGAGCUGGAUUGGCUCCGGUGGCUCGUAUAGUCGGCUGCGGUACAACACAAGGUGAAACGGAGUAGAAUGUGAUGGCGUGUCGCAUCACAGAAGGUGAGCAAACUAAACAGAUAAAAGUUUGAUUUUUAGAGUGCCUUUAGAGCGCAUCACAGGCGCCCCAGGAUGGGCGAGGAGAAACCUCCUCGCCCAUCGAUAUAUUGACGGGGGACCGGGGUAGAAGGGCCUCUGGGGACUGGGCGGUGCCGAGAACAGGCAAGUGUGUGUGACCGGAUUUCGGGUAAUCGUGGGAGACGAGGCCUGGGGGCCCUCUUUGUGUUUAGCUUUGGCUUUACGUGCGAAUAUCGGUGUAAUGUCGCAUGUCUUUGCAGUUUAGACUGAGUGUUUUUGAGCGUUGUGUUUUCGGAACAAAUAAAAGGGAGCGGAAUUCCCGCUCCCGUGAAAGAACCAGGCUGGACUCUGGUUGUUUGACGGACCACAUGGGAUCUGGCGUAUCUGCGGCAGUAUGCGAUUUCCUACGAUGUGUCCUUUAAGUUUCAUAUAUUUUGGUCUUGAAUUUUAACCACUAUUGUGUAACUUGUUCACACCAUUGUUUAACAUGUUUGUUUCCUAUGGUUGCAUUUGCAAUUGCACUGUGUAAUGCCCCUGGCUCCGAGGGUAAAAUAAAGGAACAGAAACAAACCGA